rnacentral:rRNA from 1 species
CCUACGGGAGGCAGCAGUGAGGAAUAUUGGUCAAUGGGCGAGAGCCUGAACCAGCCAAGUCGCGUGAGGGAAGACGGUCCUCUGGAUGGUAAACCUCUUUUGUAGGGGAGCAAAAAGGCCUGGUGAGGACACAAGUGAGAGUACCCGAAGAAAAAGCAUCGGCGAAAUCCGUGCCAGCAGCAGCGGUAAUACGGAGGAUGCGAUCGGUAUCCGGAUUUAUUGGGUUUAAAGGUAGCGUAGGGGGAUUGUUAAGGCAGUUGUGAAAGUUUGCGGCUCAACCGUAAAAUUGCAGUUGAAACUGGCAGUCUUGAGUACAGUAGAGGUGAGCGGAAUUCGUGGUGUAGCGGUGAAAUGCUUAGAUAUCACGAAGAACCCCGAUGGCGAAGGCAGCUUACUAACCUGUGACUGACAUUGAUGCUCGAAAGUGUGGGUAUCAAACAGGAUUAGAUACCCCGGUAGUC